GAUGAACGCUGGCGGCGUGCCUAAUACAUGCAAGUCGAGCGAACGGACGAGAAGCUUGCUUCUCUGAUGUUAGCGGCGGACGGGUGAGUAACACGUGGAUAACCUACCUAUAAGACUGGGAUAACUUCGGGAAACCGGAGCUAAUACCGGAUAAUAUUUUGAACCGCAUGGUUCAAAAGUGAAAGACGGUCUUGCUGUCACUUAUAGAUGGAUCCGCGCUGCAUUAGCUAGUUGGUAAGGUAACGGCUUACCAAGGCAACGAUGCAUAGCCGACCUGAGAGGGUGAUCGGCCACACUGGAACUGAGACACGGUCCAGACUCCUACGGGAGGCAGCAGUAGGGAAUCUUCCGCAAUGGGCGAAAGCCUGACGGAGCAACGCCGCGUGAGUGAUGAAGGUCUUCGGAUCGUAAAACUCUGUUAUUAGGGAAGAACAUAUGUGUAAGUAACUGUGCACAUCUUGACGGUACCUAAUCAGAAAGCCACGGCUAACUACGUGCCAGCAGCCGCGGUAAUACGUAGGUGGCAAGCGUUAUCCGGAAUUAUUGGGCGUAAAGCGCGCGUAGGCGGUUUUUUAAGUCUGAUGUGAAAGCCCACGGCUCAACCGUGGAGGGUCAUUGGAAACUGGAAAACUUGAGUGCAGAAGAGGAAAGUGGAAUUUCAUGUGUAGCGGUGAAAUGCGCAGAGAUAUGGAGGAACACCAGUGGCGAAGGCGACUUUCUGGUCUGUAACUGACGCUGAUGUGCGAAAGCGUGGGGAUCAAACAGG
rnacentral:rRNA from 1 species